AAUGUCUUUCAAUCCCAAAAUUCUCCCGAAAGAACCAACAACUACAGUUCACAAUUUGGCAAUGCAUGUCUUCUCCGGAGAUGCCUUGAUCAGCUGGCCGAGUCCAUGGCAGUGCUCGGCAGCCUGGCGUCCUGAGCCGACCCGUGCGAUGCAUUUCUGGGUAGCGAAGCGGAGUCCGCACGCCUGGAGCCAUCACCACGUGUCCUCGGCCUCCUGGUCCAGCGCGCCGCGGCCCCGACCCAAGCGCUCCGCCCCACCCAUGCCGGCGCCCGUGCACAGGUACCCGCCGGUGCCGACGGUACAGCGCGAGGCUUCGCGCCGAUUGGCUGAACACCAGCGGCCGGCGGCCAAUGGCGAAUCGUCG